UCCGGGAUCGUCCAGUGGCAGGACGGUGGUCUUUGACACCACAGACGGAACGGGUUCGAUUCCCCCUCCCGGAGCCA
rnacentral:tRNA from 1 species